rnacentral:rRNA from 1 species
AGAGUUUGAUCCUGGCUCAGAUUGAACGCUGGCGGCAUGCCUUACACAUGCAAGUCGAACGGCAGCGCGGGGCAACCUGGCGGCGAGUGGCGAACGGGUGAGUAAUAUAUCGGAACGUGCCCUGGAGUGGGGGAUAACGCAGCGAAAGUUGCGCUAAUACCGCAUACGAUCUAAGGAUGAAAGCAGGGGACCGCAAGGCCUUGUGCUCCUGGAGCGGCCGAUAUCUGAUUAGCUAGUUGGUGGGGUAAAGGCCUACCAAGGCAUCGAUCAGUAGCUGGUCCGAGAGGACGACCAGCCACACUGGAACUGAGACACGGUCCAGACUCCUACGGGAGGCAGCAGUGGGGAAUUUUGGACAAUGGGCGAAAGCCUGAUCCAGCAAUGCCGCGUGAGUGAAGAAGGCCUUCGGG